UUGAAACGUCACAGCUGUUCUGGUAGCUAAUCGUAUGUCACGUUACUUGAACCGCAGUUGCUAUCAUCAUAGGAGGAACUAGUUAGCUUUAAAUGCCACACUGAAUAAUCGGUAAACACUGGUGAAAUCGGAAGAUUUAACUUCACAGAUAGGAGCGAUAAAGUAAUUAAGGUAAACAUAACCAUGGAGGAACCAGGUGCUGAUAUAGAGGUGACUGUCAAAACUUUGGACUCCCAGAGUCGAAGUUACACUAUAGGCGGACAGUUGACAGUGAAAGAGUUCAAGGAGCACAUUGCCACUUCAGUGGACAAACAGGCUGAUCUACCAGGGCCGAGUUCUGCAGGAUGAGAGGACCCUGACAGUACAUAUCUUGGCAAAUGGUACUUCAUUGCAGCGGCUGGUGUGAAGGAGUCGGAUGUGCAGAUGUUCAGACAGAUGGACAGCACUGUGUUUCACCUGAAUGAGACCUCUGAAAAGGCACUACUGUUGACCGGAGCCAUGCGCGUGGGUGGUCGUUGCGUUAUGAAAAACUGGACCUAUACUAUUCAGUCUGGAAAAGAUUAUUUGACAUCACAGGGCAGGCCUGAGCUGCAAACUCUAGUGUGGAGUGGAGAGUGGCUGAACUGCAACCAGUGUAUCCUGCUGCAGGAGAUGGAGCGUCACUUGGAUCCACUAGAGACACACAACACCCUCAACAGAUUCAUUCUUUACGGUCAGCAAAGGAGUCAUCAAUGAUUCCAUACUGUGAUGGAAUAGCAGGAAUCGAAGCAAAGCUGAGAAUCUAAGAAUUGAGAUACAUACUAUUAUUAAUACAUCACAUUGCUGUUUAAUUAAUUAUUGCAUGCAUACAAUGUACAUAUUACAUUUGAUGUGUUUUAAAUUGUAUAACAAGGACAUGGUAUAGCUGCCCAAAGGGUUAAUGUGCUUAGAGAUGCAAAGAAUAUUUGCAUGUUUGCACUGUGGUCCUCAAUGAAAAUAGUGACAGUGCCUUAUUGGAUAAUAAAGUGGUGAAGGCGUUUCGGACCCAAACGGCUUGUAAAAACAUGGACAGAUUUGUCCAUCUCCCUCAAGAGAAAGGUUUGUGGUUUUGGUACAUAAUCUAACCUCACUAUAGAACAAAUGGACUUGGACCACCAGAGAAAUAUAUAUUUUCUAAUAUCUAAAAUAGCAUAUGUCUCAUUGAACUGUUUUAUUUAUAUAUGUGUGUGUGUGUGUGUAUGUUUCUUUCAGAGCUUUGUCAUUUAAACAAGGCGUAGCACUGAGACUUGUGACGCACCAACAUGAAGACACUUGACUUCCCAGAUGCACUUUGGCAUGAAACAACUUGUUGACCGACAGAAAGUACAGAGUAAGAAUUUACUUCCUGUCUCUGUCAGAAUGACUUGAGAUUCUUACCUUUCUCUCACCUGUACGAUGUCCAUAAUAGGACAGCCUCAAUCUCAGCAGGACAUAUUUCAGUCUCAGUAGGACUUGUUUCAAUAAGUUAAUAUAGUCACAGUACGGCUGAGAUUCUAUUCCCAGUGUGUUCCUCUUCAUUUCAGUAUAGUUUCUCAAAUACCAAUGCCAUUUACAGUAUAUGAAAACAUAUCUUGUUAAGCCCAAGAAUAGGCAGUCAAACUCCCCUGCAUAAUAUUUCAGUACUGUCAAACAAUGGUUCUUCCAGCCCACCUCUAACACAGCUGAUUGUUGUUGAGCAGUUCACUAAUUAUAUUGAUGAGCAGUUCACUAGUGAAACACUAAUCAGAUGGUAAUGCUGGGCAGAAACACCCUUUAGUUCUCCCUGACCAGGAAUGGUGACCGCUGGUGUAUAUACCAAUAUUGAGCCGAACACAUUCUACGAUGCUGUACAGAUUGACAUCAAUGAUCUAAAACUAGACAGAAACUGAUCAAUGAUCUAAAACUGGACAGAAACUGAUCAAUGAUCUAAAACAGAACAGAAACAGAAUAGAAACUGAACAGAACCUGAUUAGAUUGAUGCCAGAAGGUUUCUGCUUUCAACAACAGCAGUGCCUGAACUUCUGCAUUUCAGGAAGAUGGGGAAAAGACUUAAAGGCUAACAUGAUUGAAGGCCUUGUCUGAGAACUUUGCCUGCAUUGGGUAAGCACCUAAACCGUCUGUGGCAUGUCAAGAAAAGCACAGGUUGAUUGGGGAUGCCCCAUGGAGCAAGAAACCAAGAGCAGGAAAGUUACAUAGAAAUCUACCAACAAACGCUCUCUCCUUCUCUCACUCUCACUUUCGCUCUCUCCACUUUCUAAAAGUUACUUUCAGUCCUGUUUAUGAAAUCAACAGUGUUCAACUUCACACAUCUGCAUUUCCAUACCCUAUGGCUAUUUGCAUACCCUAUGUAUCAGGAACCAAAGUAAGACCUAAGUGCAGACUGUGUGAAGUAACCAUGUUUAAUGACAGGUCAAGGCAGGCACGGGUCGAUAAUCCAGAGUGGGAGCCAAGGUACAGGACGGCAGGCAGGCUCAGGGUAAGGGGCAGGCAGACGGGCUCAGAGUCAGGACAGGCAAUGGUCAAAACCAGGAGGGUGAGAAAAGAGACUGGGGAAAAGCAGGAGCUGAGAAACAAAACGCUGGUUCACUUGA